rnacentral:rRNA from 1 species
GAAAGUAAGUAAGGGCGUAUGGGGGAUGCCUAGGCUCUUGGAGGCUAAGAAGGACGUGGUAAGCUGCGAAAAGCUGCGGGGAUUUGCAAACGAGACUCGAUCCGCAGAUAUCCGAAUGGGACAACCCGGCAGGUAGAAGACCUGUCACACCGCGAGGUGAGCUAACCCUCUGAACUGAAACAUCUAAGUAGGAGGAGGAAAAGAAAGAAACAUCGAUUUCCAAAGUAGCGGCGAGCGAAAUGGAAGAAGCCCAAACCGAUAUUGUUACGGCAAUAUCGGGGUUGUAGGACUGCAAUAUUCAAUUAACAAUGAACUGGAAUGGUCUGGAAAGUCCAUCCAUAGAGAGUGAAAGGCUCGUACAGGUAAGUUUGUUAUGCGAAAGCAGUAUCCUGAGUAUGGCGGGACACGAGGAAUCCUGUCAGAAUCAGCCGGGACCACCCGGUAAGGCUAAAUACUCCCAAGAGACCGAUAGUGGACCAGUACUGUGAAGGAAAGGUGAAAAGAACCCCGAACAGGGGAGUGAAAUAGAACCUGAAACCAUACGCUUACAACCGGUCGGAGCAGCUUCGUGCUGUGACGGCGUGCCUAUUGAAUAAUGAGCCUACGAGUUACUAAUCACUAGCGAGGUUAAGUGCAAGGAUGCACGGAGCCGAAGCGAAAGCGAGUCUGAACAGGGCGUUUAGUUAGUGGUUGUAGACGCGAAACCUUGCGAUCUACCCUUGAGCAGGUUGAAGGUUGGGUAAAACCAACUGGAGGACCGAACGAAUAAGCGUUGAAAAGCUUCUCGAUGACUUGAGGGUAGGGGUGAAAGGCUAAUCAAGCUGGGAAAUAGCUCGUACUCCCCGAAAUGCCUUUUGGGGCAGCGUUGUAAUAAAGAGUCUACUGGAGGUAGAGCUACUGAUUGGAUGCGGGGGCUUCACCGCCUACCAAAUCCUGACAAACUCCGAAUGCCAGUAGUAUGAUUUACAGCAGUGAGUGACUGGGUGCUAAUGUCCAGUCGCAAAAGAGGAACAACUCAGACCAGCAACUAAGGUCCCGAAGAAUAUGCUAAGUUGAUCUAACGAUGUUUUGUUGCAGAGACAGCUAGGAUGUUAGCUUGGAAGCAGCUAUUCAUUCAAAGAGUGCGUAACAGCUCACUAGUCGAGCGACAGAGCGUGGAUAAUAAACGGGCAUCAAGCAUAUCACCGAAGUUCUGGGCGCGAGAGCGCGGUAGGGGAGCAUUCCAUUCAGCGUCGAAGCAGUUUCGUGAGGAAUUGUGGAGCGUAUGGAAAAGCAAAUGUAGGCAUGAGUAACGAUAAUGCGGGAGAGUAACCCGCACACCGCAAGACCAAGGUUUCCUGAUCAACGCUAAUCGGAUCAGGGUUAGUCGGGUCCUAAGGGUAAGCCGAACGGCGAUCUCGAUGGAUAAUCGGUUAAUAUUCCGAUACUAACAUAUACCUCGAUGGAGAGACGAAGGAACGUAAGUGCCGCCACCUGACGGAAUAGGUGGUUAAAGGGCGUAGGUAUAGGGGCAGAUUAAGAGUUAGUCCUUGCUGAAACCUGACAGUACAGAGAGCCUACGGGCAAUUUGAUAGAGCACCCAAGUCGACUUCCGAGAAAAUCUUCUAAGUUAUAGUAUAUGUUACCCGUACCGUAAACCGACACAGGUGGUCGAGGAGAGUAUCCUAAGGUGCUCGAGUGAAUCACGGUUAAGGAACUAGGCAAAUUAACCCCGUAACUUCGGGAAAAGGGGUCCCUAUGAAAGUAGGGCGCAGCGAAGAGGUCCAGGCGACUGUUUAUCAAAAACACAGGGCUCUGCAAAUUCGAAAGAAGACGUAUAGGGCCUGACACCUGCCCGGUGCUGGAAGGUUAAGAGGGGAUGUCAUCGCAAGAGAAGCAUUGAAUCGAAGCCCCAGUAAACGGCGGCCGUAACUAUAACGGUCCUAAGGUAGCGAAAUUCCUUGUCGGGUAAGUUCCGACCUGCACGAAUGGUGUAACGAUCUGGACACUGUCUCAACCGUGAGCUCGGUGAAAUUGUAGUCCCGGUGAUGAUGCCGGGUACCCGCAACGGGACGAAAAGACCCCGUGAACCUUUACUAUAGCUUAACGCUGAAUUUGGGUACACAAUGUGUAGGAUAGGCCGGAGGCUUUGAAGCGGGCACGCCAGUGUUCGUGGAGCCGACGUUGAAAUACGGCCCUUUGUGUAUUUGAGUUCUAACCCUGCGAAGGGGACACCGUUUGGUGGGUAGUUUGACUGGGGUGGUCGCCUCCAAAAGCGUAACGGAGGCUU